rnacentral:misc_RNA from 1 species
UGAAGAUUUCCUGGAGAGGGAGGGCUUGGGUUUUUCAGAGAACGGUGGUGAUGCUUGUGCUUCCAUAGGGUGCUGUUGGGCACAAGUGGGAACGUGGUUUAGGAAUUAAAAGAAAGAAAAGGGGCAGAUGUUGGAUCUGAUCUUACACGUUUUGUGAAAUUUCACAUUUUCUGAGUGCUAUAUUAUGAGGGAUGAAGCGUGUUUAGCGUAGUUGAGAGACUCUUUUGCCAGCCAUCCACGACUUUUUCUCAUUGGG